rnacentral:rRNA from 1 species
AUACGUAGGGUGCGAGCGUUAAUCGGAAUUACUGGGCGUAAAGCGUGCGCAGGCGGUUUUGUAAGUCAGAUGUGAAAUCCCCGGGCUUAACCUGGGAACUGCGUUUGAAACUGCAAGGCUAGAGUGUGGCAGAGGGGGGUGGAAUUCCGCGUGUAGCAGUGAAAUGCGUAGAGAUGUGGAGGAACACCAAUGGCGAAGGCAGCCCCCUGGGUCAACACUGACGCUCAGGCACGAAAGCAUGGGGAGCAAACAGGAUUAGAUACCCCUGUAGUCC